CAGGGAGAACCAACUUCAAGUGAUGAUCACAUUUUUUUCGUGAUCCAUUUGACUGUUCAACCCUAUGGUCGAUCGGUACCUCAAUGAAUGAGAUGUUAUCUCGUUCAUCUCGGUUCUUAAGCUUGUCUAGGUCACUACCCCAUAGCUGAUAAGCUGUGGAGGAUGGGCCCGAGAGGGUUCCUGGGCCAUUAGCUCAGGUGGUUAGAGCGCACCCCUGAUAAGGGUGAGGUCCCUGGUUCAAGUCCAGGAUGGCCCAUCGGGAUUGGGGGUUUAGCUCAGCUGGUAGAGCGCCUGCUUUGCAAGCAGGAUGUCAGCGGUUCGAGUCCGCUAACCUCCAUCAAUUCUGAUGUGGGAAACGGCAGAACGCCAUGGUGAUCUAGGGGAAGGUUUGUUGGUGAAUCCAGCCUCGUUUGAUACUCGUUAGUCGAGCUCAAAUGAUGCUGGACUCAGCAAUGGGUUCAGCAAGAACCUUGACAACUGCAUAGGUGAGUCUGGAAAUAAGCAUCUCACAGAGAUGAUCCAGACAUUGAUUGAUGAUUUUGGUCAUCAAUGGAUGGAUGGAUUGUUAAUUCUGUGGAAGCCGAGAUCCAGUUGACUUGUCAACUGGAGAGUGAAAAU
rnacentral:tRNA from 1 species